UCGAGAAUUUUUCUCAAUGGGCGAAAGCCUGAAGGAGCGACGCCGCGUGGGGGAUGAAUGGCUUCGGCCCGUAAACCCCUGUCAUUUGUGAACAAAUUGCUUCACCUAACACGUGAAGCAUUGAUUGUAACGGAAGAGGAAGGGACGGCUAACUCUGUGCCAGCUGCCGCGGUAAUACAGAGGUCCCAAGCGUUGUUCGGAUUCACUGGGCGUAAAGGGUGCGUAGGCGGUUUGACAAGUCUGAUGUGAAAUCCCGCAGCUUAACUGCGGAACUGCAUUGGAAACUGUUUGACUAGAGGAAUGGAGGGGAGACUGGAAUACUUGGUGUAGCAGUGAAAUGCGUAGAUAUCAAGUGGAACACCAGUGGCGAAGGCGAGUCUCUGGACAUUUCCUGACGCUGAGGCACGAAAGCCAGGGGAGCAAACGG
rnacentral:rRNA from 1 species